AGCAGCCGCGGUAAUUCCAGCUCCAAUAGCGUAUAUUAAAGUUGUUGCAGUUAAAAGCUCGUAGUUGAAUUUCGGGGUUAGUAGGUUGGUCAUGCCUCUGGUAUGUACUGGUCUCACUGAUUCCUCCUUCCUGAUGAACCUUAAUGCCAUUAAUUUGGUGUUUUGGGGAAUUUGGACUGUUACUUUGAAAAAUUAGAGUGUUUAAAGCAAGCUAACGCUUGAAUACAUUAGCAUGGAAUAAUGAAAUAGGACGUUCGAUCCUAUUUUGUUGGUUUCUAGGAUUGACGUAAUGAUUAAUAGGGAUAGUUGGGGGCAUUAGUAUUCAAUUGUCAGAGGUGAAAUUCUUGGAUUUAUUGAAGACUAACUACUGCGAAAGCAUUUGCCAAGGAUGUUUUCAUUAAUCAAGAACGAAAGUUAGGGAUCGAAGACGAUCAGAUACCGUCGUAGUCUUAACCAUAAACUAUGCCGACUAGGGAUCGGAUGAUGUUUAAUUUUUAAUGUACUUCAUUCGGCGUCCUUA
rnacentral:misc_RNA from 1 species